UAAUAAAUAAAAAAAAAAAAAAAAAAGAAACUAUGUCACUAACGUGUCCUCCUGUGGCCGUGCUGCGUGUGGGGAUUCCCAGCAUGGGCUCGACAGCCCUCCAGCGCCAUCUUCCCCCUCACCAGAAACGUGUAUGGUGGGGAAAGUCAGGAAGCCCCAUGAGUUUCAGGCACCUUGAUUAAUCUUUAAACAUUUUCGUAGACCAAUAUCUUGAUUGAUAGAUGCAUUUGCUUGGUGUCCAGCAGUUUUUAUACCCUAGAGCAAUUCAUCAUAAUGAGACUUGGCGUGGGCAAGGGACCUGCCCUUCUGUUGUAGGGUGGGGAAGGACUGUGUGAAUACAACCCUGUUAGGAAAGAGUAUGUAUAGAAGACACAGAUCUGGAAAUGGGUUCCCUUGAAGUCAUCUGUAUGCACGCACACCUCGGCAAGUCUCUCUGUGUCCCCCUGUUUGAAGGGUACUGCCCAGAGGCUCAGGGGCUCAGGGCUCUGUCUGAGAAGGCGCUAAGGGUAGAGGCGCCACUUUGUGGGCCCACUACUGCUACUUCAUCUGGAGCAGCUGGGCUGCUUUUCUGUUUCACAUUUAAACUUUUGUUUGAAGGGAGAGUUUUGCUGCUAAAAAUAACAAUUUGAGAAACACAGCUUCCAUGGGGAACCAUUUAAGGAUUUUAAGCAAGGAGUGACAUAAUUAGGUUUUUAUAUCAAAAGGUCACUUUGGCAUCUGAACACAUUGUGGAGGAUAGAUUAAAGGGAGGUGAGACUGGAGGCCCAGAGACUUCUCACAGAGGCCAAAACAGUCCAAAGGAAAAAUUGUAAGAGCUGGCAACUCUGGGCUCCGUCCCAGGGUGGCAGCAUCCACUUUAGACUGGGCGGGGGCUUCGUGGUUCGCAAGUCCCCACCCAGUUGCUCUAUGCUUUCACAUCUUCUGCCUGGCCUUUGCCUUCGUGACCCCUGCCUUGGGACAAUCUUUGACUCCUUCCUCCUCAUCCUGUGGAUCUAGUCUGCCAUCAAGUCUUGUCGUUUCUUCCUUCAAAUUAUCUCAUAUUUGUUUCUCUCUCUCCAUAUUACUAUUCCGUCAUCCUAGACCAGGCACUUAGCAUUUCAUGCUUGGCUCUCCAGGAGCCUCUUAACUGGUCUUCCUGCUGUCAGUCUGUCUGCAAACCAACCCUAUAUUGCCACUGCUAGCUACUCUUUUUCUUUUUCAAGACACAUUGCAGCCAUGCAAAAAGAGUACAGUUUUGUCAAAUCUUGCUUCAGAUUUCUUCUCCUCUCACCAGUCCUUGGCUUUUCUAGGAAAUUCUAAGUGGAACAUAAGAUUAAAAUGGUGAUUAAUACCCUUCCAGUCUCUAGAAGCUGUUGCGGUAUGUUUCUCUCGCUUCUUUUUAUGUGAGAUAUUUUUAAAUUGAGCGGGCCUUAAAAGGUGAGGGAAUACGUGCCUCCUUUUCUCAGGGAAAUAUUAUGUGAAGAAAGUAGAAUUUUUAAAUGGAGUGGAGAAGGAAAUAUAACAGCAUAUUUUAUUUGAGGCUUUAUGGUAUCAGAUGUUCCCAUCGGGUGGUAAAUAAUUACUUGGGUUGGUAAUAAUGGUGAAGGGUAGUAAAAGGAACAUAGGAAAGCAGCAUAUGUAUUUGGGAAAACAGGCCAAGUGUGGAAGAAUAAUGGAACCAAUGGGGCCUUCCUGGGCCUCACAGAGGUGCUGGUCCAGGCUUUGAUGGAGGAGACAGGUGAAAAAUGGGUUUACCUGGAGCUUGAAUCGUCAUGAAGAUAAAUGUACAUGGUUGCUUCUCCUGACAAUUCUUAAAUUCCUUCUUAGGAAUCAUUGGCUCUCUUUGAAGCAUUUUCCAUGGAAAAACUACUUGUCUGGGCUGUCUUUUCACAAAACCGCUAUUUCUGACCCUCAGGGUAUGGUACCAGUUCAACUUUUAGAAUACUUAUCUAGACAGGAGUCCUCACCGGGAUCUGCAGUUGCUCCGGAAAGACUCUCUGGGUCUUUGGUGGGCGUUACCUUGUAAGCAUGGCUUCAUAUGCAAAUUCUGGACCCUCGGGUUUGCUCUACACCAGACCAUGCCUCCAGGCCCAUAGGAUGCCAGCAAAAGAAAACACCUUCUUGUCUUCUCUCUGCCUGCCCAAGCUGACCUGCAGAAAAUGGCUAGAAGAGCUCUACGUGACUGUCUCCUGCACACAAGACAGACAGGUCCACGAGAACCUGCCAACAGAGGGCAGAAAACAGCGGUGGAGAGACCAAAUCAGGCAGGAAGACACAUUUCAAAUGCAGUAUUUCAACAAGGGAGAGGAGGAGGCAGUGGAAAAAGAAACAUAGUAAAAUUACUAUGGACUCAGCUUUCAAUUACCUUUAAAUGAGGGUGUUAAACAAUAUAUGUAUAAGAUUCCUUUUAGCCCUGAAAUUCUGUGAUUCUGGUGGAGAUUAUGUCAUUUUGGAUUUGCGUCCCUCAUUAAGCUGUGUGUAGUUGCUUAAAAAGUAUUAUUUGGUUGAUUCUAUCUAAAGUUAGAGCCAUGUCUUUUUCAGAUUGUCCUGUCACCCUUUUGACUGUUCUGUCCUUCCUUUCCUUGCUCAGAUAGGACGAAAUUCCUUUUCACUAACAGUGUUGGAAGCUGGAACUGGAGUUAGCAUCCCUGUGUUAAAGUAAGAGCUGCCCUAAGGCUUCUGUUUCCACUGAGCUUGGGGCAAGAGACAUUGUUGGGGGGCUUGCCUUUGGCCUGUGCACCCAAGCACAAAUUCCUGUUACAUGCUCCUUAAGGUAAGGGUGUCAUUCAGCUUUUUUGGUAUUCACCCUACAGCUUGUGCAAGGCAGCCACUGUUCAAUAAAGAAAUAUUGU